rnacentral:rRNA from 1 species
GAUGAACGCUGGCGGCGUGCCUAAUACAUGCGAGUCGAGCGAACAGGCGAGGAGCUUGCUCCUCUGACGUUAGCGGCGGACGGGUGAGUAACACGUGGAUAACCUACCCAUAAGACUGGGAUAACUUCGGGAAACCGGAGCUAAUACCGGAUAAUAUAUUGAACCGCAUGGUUCAAUAGUGAAAGACGGUUUUGCUGUCACUUAUAGAUGGAUCCGCGCCGCAUUAGCUAGUUGGUAAGGUAACGGCUUACCAAGGCAACGAUGCGUAGCCGACCUGAGAGGGUGAUCGGCCACACUGGAACUGAGACACGGUCCAGACUCCUACGGGAGGCAGCAGUAGGGAAUCUUCCGCAAUGGGCGAAAGCCUGACGGAGCAACGCCGCGUGAGUGAUGAAGGUCUUCGGAUCGUAAAACUCUGUUAUUAGGGAAGAACAAAUGUGUAAGUAACUAUGCACGUCUUGACGGUACCUAAUCAGAAAGCCACGGCUAACUACGUG